rnacentral:lncRNA from 1 species
GGGUCGGUUAUGCGCAGCAAUUUCGAUUGCUUCUCGAGGCAAAAUAAAUAAAAAAUAAUCCAUAUUCUCUAUUACCCAAAAUAUAUUUUGCAUAUGACGGAAUGCUAACUCACUUUAGGGUCGGUUAUGCGCAGCAAUUUCGAUUGCUUCUCGAGGCAAAAUAAAUAAAAAAUAAUCCAUGUUCCCUAUUUUGCCUAUGACGGAAUGCUAACUCACCUUAGGGUCGGUUAUGCGCAGCAAUUUCGAUUGCUUCUCGAGGCAAAAUAAAUAAAAAAUAAUCCAUGUUCCCUAUUUCCUAUUUUGCCUAUGACGGAAUGCUAACUCACCUUAGGGUCGGUUAUGCGCAGCAAUUUCGAUUGCUUCUCGAGGCAAAAUAAAUAAAAAAUAAUCCAUGUUCCCUAUUUUGCCUAUGACGGAAUGCUAACUCACCUUAGGGUCGGUUAUGCGCAGCAAUUUCGAUUGCUUCUCGAGGCAAAAUAAAUAAAAAAAUCCAUGUUUCCUGAUACAAAAAAAAGGUGGGGGAUAUGUUAUCUAACUUUUUUAGAUAAUAUGGGUAAAAUAUGAGCCACCAGCGGACUUGACUGUCCACAUCGAACUUCAAGGGUAAAUUGCAAAAUGCUCCCGGCUAUGGUAUAACUUCACAAGCAAAAUUGGGAUCCCCGCUGUGAGAAAAUCUUUCGAGGCUCAGAGGCAAAAGUUAGGGAAAGGUACAUGGUGAAAACCCAUUCGAGUGCCAGAUUAUCCAAAAUAUAUUUUGCCUAUGACGGAAUGCUAACUCACCUUAGGGUCGGUUGUGCGCAGCAAUUUCGAUUGCUUCUCGAGGCAAAAUAAAUAAAAAUAAUCUAUAUUUCAUAAUAUUCGAAAUGUAUUUUGCCCAUAAUAGAAUGCUAACUCAUCUUAGGGUCGGUUAUGCUCAGUAAUUUCG